CUAGCGACUUCAGAGUUUGAUCCUGGCUCAGAGCGAACGCUGGCGGCAGGCUUAACACAUGCAAGUCGAACGGGCUUCUUCGGAAGUCAGUGGCAGACGGGUGAGUAACACGUGGGAACGUGCCCUUCGGUUCGGAAUAACUCAGGGAAACUUGAGCUAAUACCGGAUACGCCCUUAUGGGGAAAGGUUUACUGCCGAAGGAUCGGCCCGCGUCUGAUUAGCUUGUUGGUGGGGUAACGGCCUACCAAGGCGACGAUCAGUAGCUGGUCUGAGAGGAUGAUCAGCCACACUGGGACUGAGACACGGCCCAG
rnacentral:rRNA from 1 species